rnacentral:rRNA from 1 species
CACGUAGGGGGGCAAGCGUUGUCCGGAUUUAUUGGGCGAAAGAGCUCGUAGGCUGUUCGGGUAAGUCGGGUGUUAAACCCUCAGGCUCAACCUGGGGCCCCACCCGGAUACUGCUGUGACUAGAGUCCGGGUAGGGGAGCGUGGAAUUCCUGGUGUAGCGGUGAAAUGCGCAGAUAUCAGGAGGAACACCAGCGGCGAAGGCGGCGCUCUGGGCCGGAACUGACGCUGAGGAGCGAA